ACCUACUGUGGGUUUGAUGCCAACUACUGAGUUGAGAGUAGAAGGGCAUAAUAUUGAUCCAUCAGUUUCGGUUCCCAGUGAAACUGUAACCAUAUUUGCUGCAACGGAUAUGGCAGAGCCGCUACUUGAGCCACACGGUUCUCCCAUUGUAUUCAUUAUUGUGUGAUUUCACUUAGAAGCGGACAAUUAUUGAAGAAGUUGGAAAAGUUACACACCUUCCCUUGGCCACCCCUAGCGCUCCAACCAUUGGGCGGUUCAUAGGACCUGAAAUCGGACCACUCACUUAGGCUCGCUUUCCCAAAGAUAAUUGCACCUGCCUUCCUCAACUUAGUCACCACACCUGCAUCACGAGGAACAAUAGAGCCAAGCAGAGCAAAGGAGCCAGCCGUUGUGUUGAGCUUAUCCUUGGUUGCAAUGUUAUCUUUUACAAGUACAGGGAUGCCAUGAAGUGGAGACAAAGAUCUCAGUGAGCUUCUCUUGCGCUUGAGAUCGGCUUGAGAGGCUUGGUUUAAAGCAUCUGGAUUCACUUCUAUGAUCCCUUUCAGGAUGGGGUUUAAUCUACGCACUUGUUCGAGGUAAAACUCAACGAGUUGCCUCGAGGUGAGUUUGUUUUGGUAGAAAGCAAGUUGGAAGUCUUUCAAAGUUGCUUCUUCAAUGGAAAAGUUGGUGUCAAAGCUACAACUCCCACUCCCAUAUAAUGAUAAAAUCGCCAACAAACCCAGAAGCAUGGAUAUGUAAAUGGGAAAGCUUUGGGUAGCCAUGGGAGCUUAGUUCAUGAAUCUGUUUUUUUUUAUCAGUCAACGAUCAAGUGGAGUAUGCUCCACUCCUUAGUGGAAAUAUCUUUUUGAGAAUCAAGAAUACUUUAAUGCUUAGACUCUUUUGUUUUUUUUUUUUUUUUAAUGGAGAUUGAAACUUUUAACUUGGAGUUGAAUGUAUGUUUUAAUAAGAAGAUUUGUCUUAAUAAGUUGAAGUAUGCUAAGAUA